AUUGAACGCUGGCGGCAUGCUUUACACAUGCAAGUCGAGCGGCAGCGCGGGGGCAACCCUGGCGGCGAGCGGCGAACGGGUGAGUAAUGCAUCGGAACGUACCCUGGAGUGGGGGAUAACGCCGCGAAAGCGGCGCUAAUACCGCAUAUGCUCUGAGGAGGAAAGUGGGGGACCGCAAGGCCUCACGCUCUGGGAGCGGCCGAUGUCCGAUUAGCUAGUUGGUGAGGUAAAGGCUUACCAAGGCGACGAUCGGUAGCUGGUCUGAGAGGAUGAUCAGCCACACUGGGACUGAGACACGGCCCAGACUCCUACGGGAGGCAGCAGUGGGGAAUUUUGGACAAUGGGGGCAACCCUGAUCCAGCCAUGCCGCGUGAGUGAAGAAGGCCUC
rnacentral:rRNA from 1 species